CCCUUAGACGUUCUGGGCCGCACGCGCGCUACACUGACGAAGGCAACGAGCUUUCCUUUACCGAAAGGUACGGGUAAUCUUUUGAAACUUCGUCGUGCUGGGGAUAGAUCCUUGCAAUUUUUGAUCUUAAACGAGGAAUGCCUAGUAAGCGCAAGUCAUCAACUUGCGUUGAUUACGCCCCUGCCCUUUGUACACACCGCCCGUCGCUACUACCGAUUGAAUGGUUUAGUGAGGCCUUCGGAUCCGCGACUCGUUUGUGGAGAAGUUGGACAAACUCAGUCAUUUAGAGGAAGUAAAAGUCGUAACA
rnacentral:rRNA from 1 species